rnacentral:rRNA from 1 species
UGCCAGCAGCCGCGGUAAUACGUAGGGUGCAAGCGUUAAUCGGAAUUACUGGGCGUAAAGCGUGCGCAGGCGGUUGUGUAAGUCUGAUGUGAAAGCCCCGGGCUCAACCUGGGAACUGCAUUGGAGACUGCACAGCUAGAGUGCGUCAGAGGGGGGUAGAAUUCCGCGUGUAGCAGUGAAAUGCGUAGAGAUGCGGAGGAAUACCGAUGGCGAAGGCAGCCCCCUGGGAUGACACUGACGCUCAUGCACGAAAGCGUGGGGAGCAAACAGGAUUAGAUACCCUGGUAGUCCACGCCCUAAACGAUGUCAACUAGCUGUUGGGGGUUUGAAUCCUUGGUAGCGUAGCUAACGCGAGAAGUUGACCGCCUGGGGAGUACGGCCGCAAGGUUAAAACUCAAAGGAAUUGAUCGGGGGCCCGCACAAG